GACGAACGCUGGCGGCGUGCUUAACACAUGCAAGUCGAGCGGUAAGGCCCUUUCGGGGGUACGACGAGCGGCGAACGGGUGAGUAACACGUGGGUGACCUGCCCUUAGCUCUGGGAUAAGCCUGGGAAACUGGGUCUAAUACCGGAUAUGACUCCAUGACGCAUGUUGUGGGGUGGAAAGCCUUGUGCGGCUAGGGAUGGGCCCGCGGCCUAUCAGCUUGUUGGUGGGGUGAUGGCCACCAAGGCGACGACGGGUAGCCGGCCUGAGAGGGCGACCGGCCACACUGGGACUGAGACACGGCCCAGACUCCUACGGGAGGCAGCAGUGGGGAAUCUUGCGCAAUGGGCGAAAGCCUGACGCAGCGACGCCGCGUGAGGGAUGACGGCCUGG
rnacentral:rRNA from 1 species